GGUAACAACUUUUUUUCUCUCAUUACUCACUUCUGUUGGGGUGGGUAACAAUUGUUUUCUUUCAUUAAUUACUUCUUGUGGGUGGAUGAAAUCAUAAAAGUUCUAAAGGCCUCCCCCAUUCUCUCACUCGAGGCAUGAAGAAGCCCUUUUCUGAAGUUGCCCUCCAGAUGAGAGAAUCCCUAAAAGGGCCCUAUUUUCCUCUUCCACUCUCAAUCCUCGCAGAAAAAAAAAAAAAAAAAAGUUAUGCUCGUUGGAUCAGAGGAAUAUUGCCCUUCUCCAAUGGGCGGGCUGAUAGUGAUGAUGCCACGAUCUCAACUACUUUUUAAAGCUGAUGUCUGACUAUGUGGAAGACAAACCCACUGCAGAGAGAGGAGAAAGAACUAUUAACUAUUUGUUUUUUGGUUUUGUAUUGUGAUGGAUGUGAAAGACAAGGGCCAUCCCCCUAAUCCUAGGACAAGGGAGUCUACUAAACCAACAUCACUAUUGAGAGGUGGGAUUGAUGUUGUUUGAUUGCAACGGUUACUCCCUAUGGAGGUUUAAUUCGCAGUGAUGGUCUGUUAUUAUCUAACAUGAUUUUAUCAUUUUUAUUUUUUUAAUUUAAGUUGAAUCAUUCUUAUUUUAAGACAUCUAGUUAAGAAAUUUAUGUUAAUUUUAGCGGAGAAUACAAGGAUGUGAUUAAUAGAAAGGAGAUUGCAGUCACAAAUUUAGAAGCUAGGUUUGUUAACUACGACACAAACUUGGUUUUCAGAUCUGUGAUUGCAAUCUCCACUCCAUCAAUCACAUCCCCGUAUUCUUCCAAACAAGAUUAACAUGAAUCUCAUAUUUAAAAAAAAAAAUCAUAGAUUCAACUCAAAUUAAAAAGGAUAAAUAUGAUAAAAUUAUGUUUGUUAUAAGUAUAACAUUAUUGCGAGACAUCCACCAUUGAAUGAAUACUCCAUGAGGAGUAGUCCAUUGAAAUCAUAUAGCAUCAAUCCCACCUUUUUAUAGUGAUGUUGACUCAGUGGACUCCCAUGUCUUAGGAUUAGUAAAGUCCUAAAAGUCUUUCCUAUAUAUAUCAAAUGUUAUUCCCAUUUUGACAUUUUAUUCCAGAGUUUUAGCUCUGAUUGGUAAAGGAUCAAAGAAAAUUUCUAGUUA